AUUGAACGCUGGCGGCAGGCCUAACACAUGCAAGUCGAACGAGUGGCGGACGGGUGAGUAAUGUCUGGGAAACUGCCCGAUGGAGGGGGAUAACUACUGGAAACGGUAGCUAAUACCGCAUACCAUCGGAUGUGCCCCGAUGGGAUUAGCUAGUAGGUGGGGUAACGGCUCACCUAGGCGACGAUCCCUAGCUGGUCUGAGAGGAUGACCAGCCAUACUGUAACUGAGACACGGUCCAGACUCGUACGGGAGGCAGCAGUGGGGAAUAUUGCACAAUGGGCGCAAGCCGGAUGAAGCCAUGCCGCGUGUAUGAAGAAGGGCUUCGGGUUGUAAAGUACUUUCAGCGGGGAGGCGUUACCCGCAGAAGAAGCACCGGCUAACUCCGUGCCAGCAGCCGUGGUAAUUC
rnacentral:rRNA from 1 species